UUGAUGAUUAGAUCCAAUAGUGAUUUGUAAUCGCUAAUCAACCAUCUGAUCAGUCAAGUACCUCCAUUGUGUGUGAUCUUAUAGAUUCUAUUUUGUCUGAUACUAAGAUAUACCAUGAUCCCUAUCAUAAUAUCGUCGAAACUUCUUUCAAUGGAUUGAAACAAUUCCAACUCUAUCCAAUCAAGGAUCAUCGAUCAUCAAGAUGAUGCUCUAUGAGUCUCAUAAUCCACCAAU
rnacentral:lncRNA from 1 species